GACGAACGCUGGCGGCGUGCUUAACACAUGCAAGUCGAACGAAGUGGCGAACGGGUGAGUAACGCGUAAUCAACCUGCCCUUCAGAGGGGGACAACAGUUGGAAACGACUGCUAAUACCGCAUACUGAAGGAGGGGUUUGCGUCUGAUUAGCUGGUGGGGGGGGGAACGGCCCACCAAGGCGAUGAUCAGUAGCCGGUCUGGAGGGAUGAACGGCCCAAUUGGGACGGGGACACGGACCAGGCUGCUACGGGAGGCAACAGUGGGGAAUCUUCCGCAAUGGACUGAAGUCUGGCGGAGCAAAGCCGCGUGAGUGAUGACGGCCUUCGGGUUGGAAAGCUCGGUUAAUCGGGACGCGGUACCGGAAUAGAAAGCCACGGCUAACUACGUGCCAGCCGCCGCGGUAAUUC
rnacentral:rRNA from 1 species